rnacentral:rRNA from 1 species
UCCAGACUCCUACGGGAGGCAGCAGUGGGGAAUAUUGCACAAUGGGGGAAACCCUGAUGCAGCAACGCCGCGUGAGUGAAGAAGCGUUUCGGCGCGUAAAGCUCUGUCAGCGGGGAAGAAAGAAGACGGUACCCGACCAAGAAGCCCCGGCUAACUACGUGCCAGCAGCCGCGGUAAUACGGAGGAUGCGAGCGUUAUCCGGAUUUAUUGGGUUUAAAGGGUGCGCAGGCGGCACGGCAAGCCGGCGGUCAAAUCGCGGGGCUCAACCCCGCCCAGCCGUCGGAACUGCCGGGCUAGAGUGGGCGAGAAGUGCGCGGAAUGCGUGGUGUAGCGGUGAAAUGCAUAGAUAUCACGCAGAACUCCGAUUGCGAAGGCAGCGCACCGGCGCCCUACUGACGCUCAGGCACGAAAGCGUGGGUAUCGAACAGGAUUAGAUACCCCUGUAGCC